rnacentral:rRNA from 4 species
CAACAGGGAUUGCCCCAGUAACGGCGAGUGAAGCGGCAACAGCUCAAAUUUGAAAUCUGGCUCUCGGGCCCGAGUUGUAAUUUGUAGAGGAUGCUUUUGGUGAGGUGCCUUCCGAGUUCCCUGGAACGGGACGCCAUAGAGGGUGAGAGCCCCGUCUGGUUGGACACCGAUCCUCUGUAAAGCUCCUUCGACGAGUCGAGUAGUUUGGGAAUGCUGCUCUAAAUGGGAGGUAUAUGUCUUCUAAAGCUAAAUACCGGCCAGAGACCGAUAGCGCACAAGUAGAGUGAUCGAAAGAUGAAAAGAACUUUGAAAAGAGAGUUAAACAGUACGUGAAAUUGUUGAAAGGGAAGCGCUUGUGACCAGACUUGGGCUUGGUUGAUCAUCCGGGGUUCUCCCCGGUGCACUCUUCCGGCUCAGGCCAGCAUCAGUUCGCCCUGGGGGAUAAAGGCUUCGGGAAUGUGGCUCUCUCCGGGGAGUGUUAU